UGAUAUAUCACUUGGCCUAGCAGGUUUGCCUGGGCCCAGUCCAAAGAUGUAAUUGUGACAUAUCACUGAAACCAGCAUAUAGGAGAUGUGUCUCCAUACUCCUGCCUUGGUGCUGCCCACAGUGGGCACUGUGACAUAUCACUGGGCCUUGUAUCCAAGUGAUGACUGCCUGCAGGGGAUAUGGUGACAUUUUACUUUGCCCAGCACCAAGAUGACUUGAAUCUGCUGCCUUUGUUCUACUUUCAGAAGACAUUGUGACAUAUCGCUGGGCCUAGCACCAAGGUGAUGUGAAUCUUCUGCCUGGACCUGCUCACAGAGGGAAUUGUUACAUAUUUUUGACUUCAUCAACUAUUUGAUGUGACUCUCCUCUCUAACCUGGGCCUUGCCCAUAAAAAACAUUGUGGCUUAUCUCUGGGCCCAAAACCUAGGUGAUGUGACUGUCUUCUUAGGGUCAUGCCCACAGUAGAGAGAUGCCUUAUUGCUAAACCCAGCACACAGGUGAGGUGAUUCUUCUGUCU
rnacentral:lncRNA from 10 species